rnacentral:rRNA from 1 species
GACGAACGCUGGCGGCGUGCUUAACACAUGCAAGUCGAACGGAAAGGCCCUGCUUUUGUGGGGUGCUCGAGUGGCGAACGGGUGAGUAACACGUGAGUAACCUGCCCUUGACUUUGGGAUAACUUCAGGAAACUGGGGCUAAUACCGGAUAGGAGCUCCUGCUGCAUGGGGGGGGUUGGAAAGUUUCGGCGGUUGGGGAUGGACUCGCGGCUUAUCAGCUUGUUGGUGGGGUAGUGGCUUACCAAGGCUUUGACGGGUAGCCGGCCUGGGAGGGUGACCGGCCACAUUGGGACUGAGAUACGGCCCAGACUCCUACGGGCGGCAGCAGUGGGGAAUAUUGCACAAUGGGCGGAAGCCUGAUGCAGCAACGCCGCGUUCGUGAUGACGUCCUUCGGGUUGUAAACCGCUUUCGCCUGUGACGAAGCGUGAGUGACGGUAAUGGGUAAAGAAGCACCGGCUAACUACGUG